AAGAAGCCCUCCAAGAUCAAGUCAAGAUUAUCGGUGGCGAUUUGGAUGGAGUGAGGAAGGAACAACAAGCAGUUAGAGCCAAGAUAAAGCAACUCGAUGAUGCCUUGAAGGCAAUAGACAAUGAUAUUAAAACUUUGCAGGAUGAGCUAACUUCUGUUACAGAGAAGAGAGGCAGAGCUCAUGAAAGCAUUCAGCAACUUAGGAAGAACCGUGACGAGGGGAAUGCCUACUUUUAUCAAAGCCGAUCACUUUUAAACAAAGCUAGAGAACUUGCUGCAAAGAAGGACGUCAAGGCCCUGGAGGAGCUCGCUUUUAACGAGGUCGAGAAGUUUAUGUCCCUCUGGAAUGGUGAUAAGGCUUUCAGGGAUGACUAUGAGAAAAGGAUUCUUCCAUCGUUGGAUGGUCGGCAAAUGAGCAGGGAUGGUCGGAUAAGGAACCCCGACGAGAAGCCAAUACUUGCACCUGCAGAACCGGCACCUCCUCAAACUGAGAUGGCAGCGAAACCUAACAUUAAACGAACUAAGGAAGAACCCAAACCAGUAUCAUCUGACACUCCUCUGGCUCAGAAUGUUGACAAAGAAAUUAAACUCAAAUCUGGAAAACCCGUACGCCCCUUGGAGCAAGAGGAUAAAGCAGAGGAGGAUAUCCCUGGUUUAGAAAAAUUGUCAAAGGACAUCCCUAAAGAACCGGAGGUCGAUCUUGCAAAAUUGAAGGAAAUGAAGAGGGCUGAGGAAAUUGCAA
rnacentral:misc_RNA from 1 species